CACAGAGUGAAUGCCAUGUGAACACAGAGACAGAAGGCGGCCACCUACAAGCCACGGAGAGAGGCCUCAGAGGAAGCCAUCCCAGGGCACACCUUGAUCUGGGAAUUCUUGCCUCCAGAAUUGCAAGAAAAUCAGUUUCUGUUGUUUAAGCCACCCAGCCUGGAGUACUUGUCAUGGCAGCUGGAGCAAAUGUGGACACCCUGAACUUCUCCAGCUCUGUGCCUUUAUCCACCCCGCAAUGCUGUCCUGCCCAGUCCUGAGGCCCAAGGCAUGCCCUGGAGGGAGCCUUAAUGAGCCUUCAUCAGAACUUCUCAGACCUUAAUGAGCCUGAGAAUCACCCAGGAGCUUGUUAAAAUGCAGAUUCUGCUUCAGUAGGUCUGAGUGGGGCCUGAGAGUCUGCAUUUCUAACACGCUCCAAGGGAAUGCCAGGGCUGCUGGUCCAUGACCCACACUAUGAGUAGCAUGGUGCCAGAUGGUGGGGGGGGCGUUAAGCCAGAUGGGUGAGUGAUGAUGGGAAGUCCAGUGCUCCCUGAGUCGUGGGUGCUGAUCGCAGCUCUAGCUCUUUCCACCCCUCAAAGUACAGGAGCUGGAAGAGGAGAAAGGAGGUGGCAACAUGGGGCAGCUUUGGGUGACCUUCUCAGGGGAAAUAACCACUUGUGAGCCCAGAGAAGCUCCCCUGGAGGACCACCUGCUUCUGCUGUCAGCGGGAAGUCACCUCCAAGCUCCUCUGGUCCUUUAGUCCAUCACUUUCUUGACAUGGAUGGGGAGACUGAGACCAAGAUUGGCUACAUAACUUUUGGGGGUUGUGCAAAAUGAAAACUGGAGGCAUCUAUUUCAAAAACUAUGAAGAAUUUCAAGAUGGUAACAGUAGAGCAUUAUACCAAGCAUGGGGCCCGUCUAGGCAUGGGGCCUUGUGCUCAGGUGGCACACCUGUGAGGUAAGUCUAAGGCAGAGAUGGCUUCCCAGUGAGCCAGAGCUCACCCAGCCUAACCUCAGGCCUCCUGAGUCCCGUCACUCCUCUUUCUAUCAGUGCACCCCCUCACCCUUGCCCUCCGAACUUGUCUGCCUCCAGGGAUCUAGCUGCAGCCAGGCAGGGAGGCGCUGGGGCAAGGAGGGAGUCCAAGACUUGGCAGGCUCCUUCCACCCCAAGCUUAGGAGGCCUGACCUCCUGGCUGCCUUCCCAGACCCACAGAUUCCUCUGGCUCUGUGGGCCCAGCUCAUCUGAGUAAUUCUCUGCCACUUCCAGCUGAUGGCACAGGGGUGGGAGAUGGCACCCAGAAGGAGGAAGGGGCCCCAGACACAAGAUAUGCUGACCUCACGAUUUAACACCCACUCUGCCCAGGCCACUGGCAACUGAUGACAGUUGCUAUUGCCUGAUUGGCAUGCAUCUUCUCUUUCCUGCUUCACUGAGCCACUUCUCCCCAUGCCUAGUUCAGGUAGUGCUAUGUCCGUCCCUGCUCCAAAGGUGGGCAUGGAAUUCAGGUCCCUCUAAUGCCCCUCUCCACAGUGGUACAUCAGAGAUAGGCCCUUGAUCCAAGAGAAUCUAGCAAAACUCAAUACCUGAACUUUCACUGAAAAUAUUGAGAUUGCUAGCUGUAAGAAUGACGGAAGCCUGGAGCUUCCUGGAGUCCCUUCAGGGAGUAAGGAAGGCUUGCCUCAGAAUGAAGCCAGCAGAAGGAAGCAGAGAAAAAAAAAAAAAAGCCCUAGGAUAGAUAUUGUUGGAAUCCUGGAUCCAGCUGUGCCUGAAGUCCCUGACUUCUUAGUUCUGUGUGCCAAUAAAUUCCAUUUUUGCUUACAGCUGGAGUUGAGAUUUUGUCAGCAGCCAUCAAAAGAAUGCAGCAUGGAAGUGUGAGCCAGCCAGAGUUCCGCUUGACUGUGACCUCACAAUAUGUUUUGGUAGUUCUUUCCCCUUUCCCAUUCACUACAGCUUCCUUCCAAGCCAAAGGCCUUCCCUCCCAGCAGCAAAAGCAGUCAGAGGACGAUGUUCCCUAGUCUAAUCUGCUCUUUCCUUCCUUCAUUCAUUCAAUCAAUCAUUCACGCAGCUGGCCAGCAGACACUGGAUGACCACCCCUGGGCCAGGCCUUGUGGCAAAUGCUACAGUAAUGACCAGACACAUCACACCCGCCUUCUAGAAGCCCUCCCUCACAAACCGGAUCAACUGCUAUGAUAAAGGAAUUCAGCAUGAACUUGGCCACUCUGAGCGCCUAGAGGCCACACUCAGGUCGAAGGCACGUGGCCCUGUGACAACGUGGCAGCUCACUUCUUCAAAGCCAGCAGCAGACACUCUCAGCAGGUGGCCUCUAGGAGCUGAGGUUCUCAGUCCUACAACCACAAGGAAUGAAUUUUGCCAAAAAACAGUGAGCUUGCAAGAAGACACCAAGGCUCAGAUGAGACACCAGUCCCAGCCAACACCCUGAUUUCAGCCUGCAAGAUCCAAAGCUGCGAUCCCCAGUUGAGCCAAGCAAGCCCUGAUUUCUGACCUACAGGAACUGUGAGAUAAUAAAUGGGUAUUUUCAGCUGCUGCGUAGCCAUAGAAAACUAAUACAGAUUUCGGUGCCUGGAAGUGAGAUGUUGCUGUAACAAAUACCUAAAAUGGAGAAGGGUGGAGGGAUUUUGAGGAGCAUGAUAAAGCCUGCAUCUCCUUGUAGAAAUGUGGAUGGUUGCUUUGGGAGGCCGAGGCAGGAGGAUUGCUGGAAGACAGGAGUUCAAGAUCAGCGUGGGCAACAAAGUGAGACUCCGUCUCCACAAAAAAUAAUUUUUAAAAAUUAGCUGGGCAUGGUGGUGCAUGCCUGUACUCCCACAUACUUAGGAAGCUGAGGCAGGAGGAUCACUUGAGCCCAGAAAUUCGAGGCUGCAGUGAGUUAUAAUUGCACCACUGCACUCCAACCUGGGCGACAGACUGAUAUUCACAAUAUGGCAAUAAGAGGAAGGAAGUGAGGAACAUGUCAUUGGAAACUGGAGGAAAGGGAUCUUUGCUGGAUAGUGGCAGAAACCUUAACAAAAUUGUUUCCUGCAAUGCUCGACAUCACUAAUCAUCAGGGAAAUGCAAAUUUAAACCACGAUGAGCUAUCAUCUCACCCCAGUUAGAAUGGCUAUUAUCAAAAUGACAAAGAAAUUAACAAAUGCUUGCAAGGAUGCAGAGAAAGAGGAAUGCUUGUACACUGUUGGUGGGAAUGUAAAGUAGUACAACCAUUAUGGAAAACAUCAUGGAGGUGCCUCAAAAGUCUAAAAAUAGAACUACCACAUGAUCCAGCAAUCCCACUGCUGGGUAUAUAUCCAAAAAAAGGAAAUCCGAACAUCCAAGAAAUACCUGCACUCCCAUGUUUAUUGUAGCAUUAUUUACAAUAGCCAAAAUAUGGAAUCAACCUAAAUGUUCAUCACUAGAUGAAUGUAUAAAGAAAAUGUGGUUUAUAUAUACAAUGGAAUACUAUUCAGCAAUAAGAAAGAAGGAAAUCCUGUCAUUUGCAGCAACACAGAGGUCAUUAUGUUAAGUGAAAUAAGCCAGGCAAAGAAAGGCAAAUAUCACAUGUUCUCAGGCACACGUGGGAUCUAAAAAAGUGGGGCCAGUCACAGUGGCUCACACCUGUAAUCCCUGCACUUUGGGAGGCCAAGGCAGGUGGAUCACCUGAACUCAAGAGUUUGAGACCAGCCUGGUCAACAUGGUGAAACCCCAUCUCUACUAAAAAUACAAAAAUUAGCCGGGCAUGUUGGCAGGCACCUGUAAUCCCAGCUACUUGGGAGGCUGAGGCAGGAGAAUCACUUGAACUCAGGAGGCGAGGUUGUAGUGAGCCAGGAUCAGGCCACUGCCCUCCAGCCUGGGUGACAGAGGGAGACUCUGUCUCAAAAAACGAACAAACAAACAAACACCACUGGGUGCAGUAACCCACACCUGUAACCAGCACUGUGGGAGGCCAAAGCGGGUGAAUCACCUGAGGUCAGGAGUGCAAAACUAGCCUGACCAACAUGAUGAAACCCCGUCUUUACUAAAAAUACAAAAAUUAGUUGGGCAUGGUGGUGGGUACCUGUAACCUCAGCUACUCGGGAGGCUGAGGCAGGAGAAUCUCUUGAACCUGGGAGGCAGUGGUUGCAGUGAACCAAGAUCGAGCCAUUGCACUCCAGUCUGGGAGACAGAGUGAGACUCUGUCUAAAAAAUAAUAAUAAUAAAUAAAAUAAAUAAAAAAUUAAAAAAUGGAUCUCAUGGAGGUAGAGAGCAGAGUGAGGAUUACCAGAAGCUGAGAAGAAUAGGGGGAGGGAGAGUGAAGUGAAGUUGGUUAAGGGGUAAAAAAAAAUAGUUAAAUGUAAGGAACAGUUUCUAAUAUUCAACAGUAUAGCAAGGAACUUAUAGUUAACAAUAAUUUAUUGUGUAAUUAAAACUAGCUAGAAAAGAAGACUUGUACUGUUCCCAACACAAAGAAAAGAUAAAUGUUGAGGUGAUACAGAUAUGCUAAUUACCCUGAUUUGACCAUUACACAUUGUAUACAGUUAUCAAAAUAUCACACCUACCCCCCAAAUAUGUACAACUAUUACAUAUCAGUGAAA
rnacentral:lncRNA from 1 species